GCGGGCAUGGUGUAGUGGUAACAUAAAACCCUUCCAAGGUUCAGUCACGGGUUCGAAUCCCGUUGCCCGCU
rnacentral:tRNA from 1 species